rnacentral:rRNA from 1 species
UACGGAGGGUGCAAGCGUUAUCUGGAUUCACUGGGUUUAAAGGGUGCGUAGGCGGGUUGGUAAGUCCGUGGUGAAAUCCCCAAGCUUAACUUGGGAACUGCCGUGGAUACUAUCAAUCUUGAAUAUCGUGGAGGUAAGCGGAAUAUGUCAUGUAGCGGUGAAAUGCUUAGAUAUGACAUAGAACACCAAUUGCGUAGGCAGCUUACUACACGAUCAUUGACGCUGAGGCACGAAAGCGUGGGGAGCAAACAGG